rnacentral:rRNA from 1 species
CUGCUGCCUCCCGUAGGAGUUUGGUCCGUGUCUCAGUACCAAUGUGGGGGGUUAACCUCUCAGUCCCCCUAUGUAUCGUCGCCUUGGUAAGCCGUUACCUUACCAACCAGCUAACACAACGCAUGCCCAUCUGUAACCGCCGAAACUUUCAACCACAAGAGAUGCCUCUCAUAGUGUUAUGCGGUAUUAGUACCGAUUUCUCAGUGUUAUCCCCCUGUUACAGGUAGGUUGCAUACGCGUUACGCACCCGUGCGCCGGUCGCCA